rnacentral:rRNA from 1 species
GUGGGGAAUCUUGCGCAAUGGGCGAAAGCCUGACGCAGCCAUGUCGCGUGAAUGAUGAAGGUCUUAGGAUUGUAAAAUUCUUUCACCGGGGACGAUAAUGACGGUACCCGGAGAAGAAGCUCCGGCUAACUUCGUGCCAGCAGCCGCGGUAAUACGAAGGGGGCUAGCGUUGCUCGGAAUUACUGGGCGUAAAGGGCGCGUAGGCGGACAGCUUAGUCAGAGGUGAAAGCCCAGGGCUCAACCUUGGAAUUGCCUUUGAUACUGGCUGUCUUGAGUUUGGGAGAGGUGAGUGGAACUCCGAGUGUAGAGGUGAAAUUCGUAGAUAUUCGGAAGAACACCAGUGGCGAAGGCGACUCACUGGCCCAAUACUGACGCUGAGGCGCGAAAGCGUGGGGAGCAAACAGGAUUAGAAACCCCAGUAGUCC